rnacentral:tRNA from 3 species
UGGGGUGUAGCCAAGCGGUAAGGCAGCGGAUUUUGAUUCCGCCAUGCGGAGGUUCGAAUCCUCCCUCCCCAGCCA